GAUGAAGAACGCAGUGAAAUGCGAUAAGUAAUGCGAAUUGCAGAAUUUCCGUGAGUCAUCGAAUCUUUGAACGCACAUUGCGCCCGUCAGUAUUCUGGCGGGCAUGCCUGUUCGAGCGUCAUUACACCCCUCAAGUCCCCUGUGGACUUGGUGUUGGGGAUCGGCGAGGCUGGUUUUCCAGCACAGCCGUCCCUUAAAUUAAUUGGCGGUCUCGCCGUGGCCCUCCUCUGCGCAGUAGUAAAACACUCGCAACAGGAGCCCGGCGCGGUCCACUGCCGUAAAACCCCCCAACUUUUUAUAGUUGACCUCGAAUCAGGUAGGACUACCCGCUGAACUUAAGCAUAUCAAUAAGCGGAGGA
rnacentral:misc_RNA from 1 species